rnacentral:rRNA from 1 species
UACAGAGACUGCAAGCGUUAUUCGGAUUCACUGGGCGUAAAGGGUGCGCAGGCGGCCGUGUGUGUGAGGCGUGAAAGCCCGGGGCUCAACCCCGGAAUUGCACCUCAAACUACAUGGCUAGAGCAUUGGAGAGGGUAGCGGAAUUCACGGUGUAGCAGUGAAAUGCGUAGAUAUCGUGAGGAACACCAGAGGCGAAGGCGGCUACCUGGACAAUUGCUGACGCUCAGGCACGAAAGCCAGGGGAGCAAACGGG